CCUACGGGAGGCAGCAGUAGGGAAUCUUCCACAAUGGACGAAAGUCUGAUGGAGCAACGCCGCGUGAGUGAAGAAGGGUUUCGGCUCGUAAAGCCCUGUUGGUAGUGAAGAAAGAUAGAGGUAGUAACUGGCCUCUAUUCGACGGUAAUUACUUAGAAAGUCACGGCUAACUACGUGCCAGCAGCCGCGGUAAUACGUAGGUGGCAAGCGUUGUCCGGAUUUAUUGGGCGUAAAGCGAGUGCAGGCGGUUCGAUAAGUCUGAUGUGAAAGCCUUCGGCUCAACCGGAGAAUUGCAUGAGAAACUGAUGGACAUGAGUGCGAAAGGGGAGAGUGAGACUCGAUGUGUAGCGGAGGAAUGCGUAGGUAUAUGGUAGAACACCAGUAGCGAAGGAGGCUCUAUGGUCUGCAACUGGCGCUGAGGCUCGGCAGCAUGGGUAGCGAGCAGGAUGAGAUACCCUUGUGGUC
rnacentral:rRNA from 1 species